UCUUAUUCGCCCCCAAAUCCUCUAAUCUCUGUGUGUGUGUGUGUGUGUGUGUGGAUCUUGAACUCUAGCAAUGGCGGGGGCUUCAUCGAAGACUAACCCUCCGAGGGCGCGGAAGAGGGUGGAGGCCGAGACUAAUACACUGAAGCGCGCCCGGGAUGGGAGCGCUUUCACCAAAUGUGAAGCAUGUAACAAAGAUGUUCCUGUGGUUCUCAUUGAUAUGCAUAGCUGUAGCCUUGAUUCCAAGAUCAGAAUGAGUUUAGAGUCUCAGGUUGUUGAGAAGGUAGCUGAUGUGAAGAAGCCUGUGGAGAGGAAGAGGGCGGCGCCAGCUGAUCGCAAGGAAAGAAAAGGCAAGAAAGAGAGGAAAUCCAAGGAUCCCAAGGCACCUAAACGCCCUCCCACUGCCUUCUUCCUCUUCAUGGAUGAUUUCAGGAAAGAAUACAAGGAAACUCAUCCUGAUUCCAAGAGUGUUUCUAUGGUCGCAAAGGAGGGUGGUGAGAAGUGGAAAUCCAUGACCGAUGAAGUGAGUGCAAAGAAACAUGUUUCUUUUAUAUGUUAUAACCUAAGUUUUCCUCUCUUUUUAAAUAUCAAUGCUUGGUGUGGUCGAUCAUCCUAUGCUUUGGUAACAGGAGAGGAAGCCAUAUGUGGACAAGGCAGCAGAGCUUAAAGCAGAAUAUGAGAAAGUAAAGGAGAAAUUAAAUGAACAAAAUGAGGAAGAGGAAAAAGAAGAAAUAGAAGAGUCUGAAAAGGAAGAAGAGUGAGGAGCAGAGGAUUUUGAUGCUGGAAGUGUCCUAGUGAGAAACUAGUUUCUUUGUUCUCUGCCUGUAAAUUUUGAUGGAUAUCUUUUUGUUGGAUACAAUGUGUUUUUUUUCUCUUUGAAAUAGUUGUUUACCUUUGGGUAAGCAAAUGUGGAAGCUAUUGUGGAAGCUAUUGUGAGUUGUUAGCAUUCAUGCCUUUCAUUUGGAUGGUAUUAACGAUGGUAAUCCGCAUGUCAUGUGGCAUCUCAGUUAUUUUCCAAUAGAUCCUGCAGCAAUACCCCGUA